GCCUUUUUCUGGCAUCCGGGCCUGGAGGGGCUGCUCUGAAGACGGGCGAGCAGCAUGGAGGCCCGCGGCGAAUCCCAGCCUGACGCGAGGUGUUCGUCGUUUUCCUGGGACGGCUCCGGGGUCUCAGUGUCCAGGGAGCUGCUGACGGCGGGCAGUGGCGGCCGCGGAGGUAUAUGGGACACGUUGGUCAUCAACUCCAAGCCUAAUUCCAGAAAGAAUUCCACUCUUCAAACAGUUCGGAUAGAGAGGAGUCCCCUAUUGGACCAAGUACAGAGCUUUCUCCCACAGAUGGCUCAGGCAAACGACAAGCUAAGGAAAGUAAUGGCAGCUGCACCACCUGGUCAUUUCAAUAUUGAAAAUAUUGACGAGACUCUCAGAAAAGUUAUGCAAAUGGAUGUGGCCUUGUUUGAGAUGAAUCAGUCUCAUUCAAAAGAAGAGGACAGUUCAGAAGAGAAUUCACAAGACAGUUCAGGGGACAGUUCAGAAUUUGAGGAUGAAGAUGAUAGCACCUCUUCUGAAGGUGAAGUCACCACCAAUACCAUUAAGCUUCCUCAUUCAGAAGAUGGAAAAGGCAAAAUAGAGGUUCUGGACAGUCGUGCCAGUGAAAAAAAAGAAACAGGGAAAUAAACCAUCUGAGAAACAGGUGAUAGAUGCCUGCAAAUUCUGUGAAAAAGAAUGUGGCGUGCCGGUUAUUUUGCAUUUCAGAUACCUAUGGUGCUUUUUUGCAAUAUUGAAUGUAUUUUGCUUCUUGGAGAAACAGAAGCUAGCUUUUAAAGAGUUGGAAGAGAUAGCAUUUGGGGAUCUUCUAAGAGCAGACUGUUUUUGAUCUCAUGCUAAAGAGAUUUAGUUUAGAAAGCUUAACUUUAUGUAUGGUGAUGAGUGAAUUUGUUGGUAUCUUCUUUCAUCAGCAUAGACUUCAGAAAUCUCAAACCUAUUUUAAAGCAAAAAUACAAGUUAUCCAUUUGUUUUUGUUUAAAUUGGCCUCUUGGGGCUUCCCUGGUGGUGCAGUGAGUCCG